rnacentral:lncRNA from 1 species
GUUGGCAUGAAGAGCAUGAGGGGUUUCACCCUCGUAAACUUAGUGAAGGACCAAAAAAAAAAAAAUAAAUAACCCCAAACAGCCUUUCAGCUGAUUACCACAUUUAUCGCGUUAUUAUGACUGAUGGUGCCAACUGAAUUUAAAUGAAUACUUUUUUAAAAAAUGUUUUUUAUUACAAAGCACCAUUGGAUUAUACUACAAUUUAAUUUAAAAGAAAAAAAAAAUUCUAUAUGCUAAGAGAGGAAUGAUCGUUUCACAUGCACAGUUUGAAUGCAGUGAGAUGCAAAAUGACAUUUCUAGCAAGCUUCAUUUGUAAACAACAUGACACCCGACAGUGCUGCUCAGUCAUGCAGCUUUCAACUUGUUUUAAACUUGAAACCGCAACAUGAUGAUGAUGAUGAGAGAGAGAGAGAGAGAGAGAGCGGGGAGGCUGAGCACGCGGAGCAGCAGCACUCUCUCAGCAGCAGGAUCAGCGGUCGCUCGGUUGUCAAGAACGCUCGGGUCGGACUGAUCAGGAGGAGGCAGCGGAUUGGAGAUGUCGUGGUGUGAAGGUUCUGGAGGCAAGAUGACUUUGGUCAAGUUGCUCCUCUCCUUAAUGCUGCUACACACACUUUCUGAAGGUAAUGUCACACUCUCUCACAGACGGUUUCUCUCUUUGUUUCUCCACGUGGUGCUAGAUUUCCAUGCAUCAUACAAAAGCAAACUGUUUGAGGGUGAGUAUUCUAGCAUGUGUAUGAAUAAAUUUAUCUAAUAAAUUGCCAAGCUGAUUUGACAAUCAAAUUCACAAGCUUGUAAAAUGAUGCACCCUAAAUUGAUUUAUGUGGAGAAACAGGCAAUCAAUGCUUUACUAGGAAUUUUAAUGGUUUAAAAGAUUUUAUAAAUUUUUUGUCUUGGUAUUAAAUGGCUGACAUUUAAGUUUUGACAUAAUAGAUGAGCUCUACUAAAUACUCAGUCUCCAAAAUUAAUUAUUUUCAAUGAAUUAUUUACACAGUAUUUAUGUAUAAAAUAUAAUCAAAUAGAAAACAUUUAUUUUAAAUUUUAAUAACAUUUCACAAUAUUUUUUUCUAUAUUAGAUUACAAAAAGUGGUUUUAGAUGGCAGUAUAUCAUGUUUUAUUGAAGUCAGCUUAUCAUUAAUUUUCUGUUCAUAGAGGAGGUGUACUAGCAUUUCCUCUGUUUUUGAAUUAUUUGUCUGUGUGCACAUGGCGUCAAAUGAACAACUUUGGCUGUUUUAUUUUUCAGCGUCUCACAACAUAAGCAUUGUAUUUUUAAUAUACAGUGUCAAAAAAAACAAAAAAAAAAAAAAAAACCGGACCUCAAGAACCCUGUGUUCUGUUCCAUACUGUUGCGGGAAC